rnacentral:rRNA from 1 species
GAUGAACGCUGGCGGCGUGUCUAAGGCAUGCAAGUCGAACGGACUGUUAUUUGUAGCAAUACUUAGAACAGUUAGUGGCAAACGGGUGCGUAACACAUUGGUAACCUGCCUCAAAGUCGGGCAUAAUCCCGCGAAAGUGGGACUAAUUCCACGAUGGUCAUCGAAGGUGAGAUUCCUUCGAUGUAAAGUCGCAAGACGCUUUGAGAGGGGCCUAUGGCCUAUCAGCUUGUUGGUGAGGUAACGGCUCACCAAGGCUAUGACGGGUAGGGGUGUGAGAGCACGACCCCCCUCACUGGGACGUGAGACACUGCCCAGACACCUACGGGUGGCUGCAGUCGAGAAUAUUCCCCAACUGGCCGAAAGGCUGAGGGAGCGACGCCGCGUGCAGGAAUAAGGCC